ACGGGACCAAGCCAGUAAUGAAGUUCCACUAUGAUCAAAAUAUGGGUACAAGAGAGUUUCUAAUAUGGCACAAAUUUGUGCUCAGUAACCAGCCAAAAACAGCAAGGUAACUAGCACAACAAUCAGCCAACACAAUGAGAAAACAAACAUAAAAUUGAGAAAAAAGUUCAGCAAAAGAAACCAGAAAAACUGCUGCUGUCCGAGUUCAAUUUCUCCCACCUCAGACCUCUGAUCGACGAUCCAAACGGUCAGAAUGAAGUACCACGAGUCACGAACCUGUUGUCCAAAUUUCAGCCCGAUCCGACGGUGAACGAAGGAGAAAUCGUGAAUUUAGUGCAGCUGCUCUGUUUUAUGCGAAAAUAGGGUUUACUCUUCCUCUCUCACUUUUCUCUUUGUCUCUCUCUCUGAAUUCANNNNNNNNNNNNNNNNNNNNNNNNNNNNNNNNNNNNNNNNNNNNNNNNNNNNNNNNNNNNNNNNNNNNNNNNNNNNNNNNNNNNNNNNNNNNNNNNNNNNNNNNNNNNNNNNNNNNNNNNNNNNNNNNNNNNNNNNNNCUUGCACAUAUUGGGUCUUUCUCCACAUAGGAAGGGAGCCCAAAACCCAACAUAUCUCCCCCUCACAACUAUGUGGAGGUGACCGCCAAACCGGCGAUCUCACAACAAGUUUCAAACUUGCUUCUCGGUAAUGCCUUGGUCAUCAUAUCAGCACCAUUAUCAUCUGUAUGAAUCUUGGCCAAUUCCAACAAUCCAGCAUCCAAAACAUCACGUAUCCAAUGAUACCUAACAUCAAUGUGCUUGGACCUAGAAUGAAAGGUUGAGUUCUUACCAAGAUGAAUUGCACUUUGACUAUCACAAAAUAGCAAAUACUUAUCUUGAACAAAACCAAGCUCCUGCAAGAAUUUCCUCAACCAUAACAAUUCCUUGCAUGCUUCUGUAAUGGCAAUGAACUCUGCCUCAGUAGUGGACAAUGCAACACACCUCUGCAAUCUGGAUUGCCAUGCCACAGCUCCCCCUGCAAGCUUAAUCAAGUAGCCUGAAGUAGACUUUCUGGAAUCAAUGUCUCCAGCCAUAUCAGAAUCAGUAUAUCCCACAAGAGUAGGCUUAUCACCUCCAAAACAAAGCCUCAAACUGGUAGUACCACGAAGAUACCUCAAAAUCCAUUUCACAGCAUUCCAAUGCUCUCUACCUGGAUUAGACAGAAAUCUACUAACUGUACCAACAGCAUGUGCAAUAUCAGGCCUUGUACACACCAUUGCAUACAUUAAACUACCCACAGCAGAUGCAUAAGGAACUCGUUGCAUAUCUGAUUUUUCAGCUUCAUUGGUAGGACUCUGACUAGUACUCAAUUUAAAAUGAGUAGCAAGAGGAGUACUUACAGCCUUAGCAUAUUCCAUCUGGAACCUCUGUAACAGUCUUUCAACAUAGUGUUCUUGUGACAGCCAAAGUUUCUUCUUGUUCCUGUCACGCAUGAUUCUUAUACCAAGAAUCUGCUUAGCAGCUCCCAUGUCUUUCAUGGCAAAUGACUCGCCCAAUUGCUUCUUCAACCUGUUAAUCAUGGAAAUAUUUUUCCCAACAAUAAGCAUGUCAUCAACAUACAAUAACAAGAUAAUGAAAUCAUCAUCAGCAAACUUUUUAACAAAGACACAGUGAUCAGAAGUAGUCUUCCUGUAGCCUUGCUCACACAUAACUGACUCAAACUUCUUGUACCACUGACGCGGGGCCUGCUUCAAACCAUAUAGACUCUUUCUGAGCCUACACACAUAGUCUUCUUUGCCUUUAACAAGAAAACCAUCAGGUUGCUUCAUGUAAAUCUCUUCCUCCAAAUCACCAUGAAGGAAAGCAGUUUUUACAUCCAUUUGCUCUACCUCCAAAUCAAGAGUAGCAGCCAAACUCAACACAGUUCUAAUGGAUGACAUCUUCACCACAGGAGAAAAAAUCUCAUUGAAAUCAACACCCUUUCUCUGUCUGAAACCUCUCACAACUAAUCUGGCUUUAUAUCUUGAAGAUGUAGAAUUGUUUUCUUGCUUCACUCUGAAGAUCCACCUGUUUUCCAAAGCCUUCUUUCCCUUAGGUAGUUUCACCAAAUCAAAAGUGUGAUUAUCAUGCAAAGACUUCAUUUCAUCUUGCAUAGCAUCCAACCACUUCUUCUUUUCAUCACUCUCCAUGGCUUCAUCAUAACAUUCAGGUUCGCCUCCAUCAGUCAAGGUAACAUAGUCAUCAGAAGGAUACCUGGUGGAUGGUUUCCUCUGCCUAGUAGACCUCCAAACUUGAGCUUGAGGUGGUUCAGGAGCAUCACCAAGAUCCUCAUCUUGUGACAUCUCAUGUUCUUCUUCAGCAUCAUCAUUAGGAACAUCAAAAUCAUCUCCAAGCUGCUGAUCACCAACAUCACCAUGUUGCUCAUCAUUCUGAACAUUAUUUUCAGCAGUAUCCAGAUCAUGUGUAGGCAUCCGAACUGGAUCAACAUCAGACAAACCAUUAUCAAUCUCAGGUGUAGUCUUCUCCAUCUUAUCAAUGUCUUCAAUGGUUUGGUCUUCCAUGAACUUCACAUCACGGCUUCUAACAGCUUUCUUCUCAACUGGAUCAAACAGCUUGUAGCCAAAUUCAUCCUGACCAUAACCGAUAAAGAUGCACUGUCUUGUCUUCCCAUCCAACUUGGAUCUCUCAUCCUUUGGAACAUGCACAUAUGCUUUGCAACCGAAGACACGCAAAUGAUCAUACCUGACAUUCUUGCCAAACCAAAUCUUGUCUGGCACCUCAGCAUUCAAAGCAGCUGCAGGACUCAGAUUAAUAACAUGCAUUGCCGUGUACAAUGCUUCACCCCAGAAAUGCUUAGGCAACUUUGCUUCAGAAAGCAUACACCUAACUCUUUCAAUCAAUGUCCUGUUCAUUCUCUCUGCUAAACCAUUCAGCUGAGGGGUUUUAGGAGGAGUCUUUUCAUGUCUGAUACCGUGCUGCUUGCAAUAAACAUCAAAUGGUCCACAAUACUCACCACCAUUGUCAGUACGAAUGCAUUUCAACUUCUUGCCUGACUGUCUCUCCACCAUAACAUGGAACUCUUUGAAUUUCUCCAGAACUUGGUCUUUUGUCUUCAAAGCAUAGACCCAAAGCUUUCUGGAACAAUCAUCAAUAAAAGUAACAAAGUAAAGUGCACCACUAAUUGACUUUACCUUCAACGGGCCACAAACAUCAGAAUGCACCAAUUCAAGCAACUCUGACUUCCUUGAGGAAGGAUGUUUCUUGAAGGAUACUCUAGUCUGCUUACCAGCCAUGCAAUGAGAACAUUUCUCCAACUCUGCACUCUUUAAUCCCGGAAGUACAUCCUUUUUAGCUAAACAAUUCAGCCCCUUUUCACUGAUAUGACUAAGCCUGCGGUGCCACAAAGAAGCCUCCAUAUCCAUGGCAUUCACACUGUCUUUAGCAACCAAUGCUUUAGUCCAAUACAGUUUAUUAAUUUUCUCCCCUCUGGCCACAACUAAGUUACCUCUGGUGAGUUUCCAUUUUCCUGAACCAAAGUGAUUAUCAUAACCACCAUCAUCAAGCAUCUGCACAGAGAUCAAAUUAAAGCGAACAUCUGGAGCAUGUUUGACUCCUCUAAGCAACAACUGCACUCCCAUGUUGGUCUGCAAACAAACAUCACCAAUACCAACUACCUUGGACACACCAUCAUUACCCAUCUUCAACACUCCAAAGUCACCAGAAGUGUAAGAUGUGAAGAACUCCUUCCUUGGUGUAACAUGCAGUGUAGCACCACUAUCAAUAAUCCACAUGCUCUCAUCUGAUACAAGAUUGACUGAGUCAUAGUCACGGAGAAUAAUCAGAUCAUCACAAGUAGCAGUAGUAACACGGUCAUCAUCAUCAUGAUUCUUAUCUCUCUGCUUACUGUUAUUGUUUUUGCUCUCCCUUUUCCAUAUGAAACAGUUCCUCUGUAUGUGCCCCAUUUUGUGACAAUAAUUGCACUCCACAUUCUUGUGUCUGGACUUGGACUUACUUCUGUUGUUCUCUCUACUCGCACUUCUGUUAUUCUGUCUAUUCCCUUUCGGUUCCUUUCUUUGACUUCGGCCCCUGUUCUCAGUGACAAGUACCUCGGAAUGAGAUGAAGUACCUUGUGCCUUCCUUCUCAUCUCCUCAUUAAGAACACUUCCCUUUACACUUUGCAAAGAGACAACACCAUCAGAAGCUGAGUUUGUAAUUGAAACCCGAAAAGUUUCCCAAGAAUCUGGUAGAGUAUUCAGUAGCCAUAGUCCCAACACUUCAUCAUCAAAUUUGAUACCCAUACCUGACAAUUGAUCUAGGAGCCCUUGAAAAUCAUUUAAGUGAUCUGAAAUAGAAGUCUCCUCCUUGUACCUCAAAUUCAUCAAGGAGUUCAACAAAUACAACUUAUUAUUCCCUGAUUUAGAAGCAUACAAAGAUUCAAUCUUCUUCCACAAGGAUCUUGCAUGUUCCUCAUUAGCAAUGUGAUUAUAAACAUUGUCUUCUACAUAUUGCCGAAUAAAACCACAGACCUGCUGAUGUUCAAAGCUCCAAUCCUCAUCAGUCUUGGAUUCUGGCUUCUCAGUAGCAAACACAGGAAGAUGCAAAUUCUUCACAAAUAACAGAUCCUUCAUUUUUCCCUUCCAUAAGUGAUAAUUAGUGCCAUUCAAACAAAUCAUUCUAUUUGUAUUUGCCUCCAUCAUUCAAACAAGUCAAACAGCCCCUUAACCAAAGAGCUCUGAUGCCACUCUGAUGGGAAAUUCAACAACAAAUAUAAUAACAACUCUAACAGAGCAAUAUGCAGCGGAUAAUCAAUUUCCCAAACUUGCAAGAAUCUGUGAGGAGCAAUCAACAAAUAAUCACAGCAACUAAAAUCACCAUUCACAAAUGACACAAUAAUUUUUAACGUGGAAAAACCUUCUCAAUGUGAGAAGUAAACAACCACGGGACCAAGCCAGUAAUGAAGUUCCACUAUGAUCAAAAUAUGGGUACAAGAGAGUUUCUAAUAUGGCACAAAUUCGUGCUCAGUAACCAGCCAAAAACAGCAAGGUAACUAGCACAACAAUCAGCCAACACAAUGAGAAAACAAACAUAAAAUUGAGAAAAAAGUUCAGCAAAAGAAACCAGAAAAACUGCUGCUGUCCGAGUUCAAUUUCUCCCACCUCAGACCUCUGAUCGACGAUCCAAACGGUCAGAAUGAAGUACCACGAGUCACGAACCUGUUGUCCAAAUUUCAGCCCGAUCCGACGGUGAACGAAGGAGAAAUCGUGAAUUUAGUGCAGCUGCUCUGUUUUAUGCGAAAAUAGGGUUUACUCUUCCUCUCUCACUUUUCUCUUUGUCUCUCUCUCUGAAUUCAGCUCUUACACACCCACUAAUCUGACCUCUCUCCACUUGGAUAAGUGAGACACAUGGACUUGCACAUAUUGGGCCUUUCUCCACAUAGGAAGGGAGCCCAAAACCCAACAUUGCAAGCCACAUAUUGGGUCAAGAAUUAAUCUCGUAAUUAAAUUUCACGUCUUCCAAACAUACUAUCUCAAUUUCAUUUCAUAUGAAUAAAAAAUUAAAAUUGCAAGACACAUUUUGAGUCAAGAAUUCAUCUCAUAAUUAAAUUAUGGGUCAUUCAAUCAUACUAUUCAAAUUCUCAAUUUCAUCUUAUAUGAAUAAAAAAU
rnacentral:lncRNA from 1 species